GCCGGGAGCGCCUGCCCCGGCAUCGGCGGCACGCUGUACCGCGCGCACGGGGCCAGCUGGCUCAGCUGCGCCCCGCAGGUGCCGCGCGGCGGCUGCGCCUUGGCCGCGCCGCCCAGGGUCACCAGCAGCAGGACCAGGAGGGCCGCCUGGCCCGUGGUCGCCGCCAUCGUCGUCGUCGCCGGCGGCUCGGUGCGCGCGCUGCGAGCUUGAGAGACGGAAAUGAGUUCCUGUGUGUGUGGUUGGCGGUGUGGUGGUGGUGCGGGAGCGCGUGGUUUUAUAGGUGGGGCGACGGAGGUGGGAGGCGGCGAGUCUUGCGUUGCUCACCUACGCUACGCAGGCAGCGGGCGGUGCUCGGAUCGGCGCCGGGCGGGAGGAGCGGGCCACGGCAAGCGUGUGAGGCACUGAGGCUGACCCGACCCAACUAAUAAGCCCAGCUCGGAGACCCGCUUCGUCCGUUUGAUCAUCGGGACAAAAAAACUUGGUUCAACGUAGAGACAUGUUUGGACCGGUGUCCUUUCACUAUCCGCGCCGAUCCAAUCUUUGACGAAUACCAGCAAACAUGUCUGUGUGUUACAGCAGGAGAAAAAAAAAUCAUCCCUAAUAGGCACUGGCCGAUACCAGUAAAUCCCUUGAAAUCUCCACACAACAAACAAUAUGAUAAGUGACGUUGCGUUAAACGUAAUGGUGGAUGAUUUUUGAAGUGUAUUCAAGGUGCUUUAAAAAAAAGUUAUGGACAUAAUUAAAUUUUUUGGAAAUUAACAUUAAGCCACUUGUUUACAUAAAGCUCAAAUCAUCAAUUUAGUGUACAACAUCGUAUAUUGGUUGGUUAUAUUGUGCAUGAUGUGAAAUAGGAUGACCGUGUACCUAUUGUAACCUUUAGCAUACAAAGUAGCUAGUAGAAAUCAACAUCCGCUAUGGUGCCAAUACUAUCUUUUACGAGAGUAUUAAACUAUCGUAUCUAUUCAAGUUAAAUGGAAUAAAAAAAAUAUGUAAUAGGCAUUUUCAAAAUACCCAAUAUAGAGAAGGUAUUAAUCAAGGUUGCAACAUAUAUUUUAUUUUAAAAAUGAGUAACAUGUAAGAUAAGAGUAUAUUUGAAAUCUACAUAUUCUUUUGAACAAUUAUCAUAUAUAACAUGUUAGAUUUGGAAUUAGGGUUUGAAAGAUAUGAAUAUCCUAAAAAGCAUUUGAAUUAGAAAAAAUAGCAUUUGAAUUAGAAAAAAUGAAAAAGGGGUAGCUGUUUUGAUGUGUUUAAUUUGGGACCGCACUGUAUAUAAACCGAAGUAAACGCCCCAUGUAGCAAAUUGAACUGUUUUUUUGUUUAUGAACGAUAUGAUGGGUAAUUUGUGUUAACUUUGGGAUAGUUCUAAUGACGAACUUGGCAGAAACAAUAACCUUUUUAUUAGUACGCAUAGAUGGGCUAGAAUGGGUUUCAAACAAACAGAAACGGACACUCCCGUCGUUUGCUGGUGCUCGCUUGUGUCCACCCUGGUCCCAAAGACCAGCGACCGCACCAGCCGGGGCUUUGCCUCCAUAAUGACGUGCACCGGCGCAUGCCACCUCUCUUUUUGAGUCAGUCGUUGUGUUAGGAUCUUGCCGGCGGGCCCGCGGCGCCGAUGAUUGGCCGAUCGUGGCCGCCAGACGCCACGUCGGGGUCCGACCACACAAGGGGGAGGAGCGGGGCACGACGAUUACCUCGCCAUGGAGGAAGGGGCGGGGCACAUAUAAAGGAUGGACGCGUUGAUGCGGAGGGAGAGGGUCAUGAACUUCGAAAACAUUUUUCUGUGCAAAUAAAUAUUGAAAAGGUACACAAUUUAUGAAAUGCAUGAAUAUUUUAUAAAGUGUGAGCACUUUUAGAAAAUUCUGAAUACUUUGAAAACCAAUCAAUUUUGAUAAAACGAUAACACUUUCUGAAACAUAUAUUUUAAAUCUAGAACAACAAAUUUAAAGUGCGAACAUUCUUUGAAAAUUAAAAAAAUGGUAACAAAAUUUGAAACCUGAGCAAACGUGUAAAGAAAUGUUUUUGACAUCUAAAAAAUAUCACAAGUUUAGAGAAAUGUACAUGGCAUUUCAAAAAAAUGUAUGUAUAAUGUAAAUAAUAUCCGUGUAAUUCUAACAAAUGUUUCUUCCAUUCAAAAAGAUGCAACAUUUCAAGAAUGUUCAAGAGUUUCAAAACAUGUGCUUGUAACAUUUUUAGAAAGAAGUGUAUACAAUGUAAAAAAGUUAGCGUGACGUAAAUAAUGUGUCAUACCCUUAGAAAAUUAUACCCGACAUGUGUUUGAAAUUUUAUAAAUGUGUAACAAUGUAAAAAAAUGUUUGUAUAGUUUUACAAGAUGUCUGUAUAGUUUUAUAAAUGUCUAUCGUCGUUAAGAAAUAAAAAAAUAUAUUUGAAAAAUAUUACUGUGUAUUCAUUUCUUUAAACAUGUAUCUAAAAAGAUAUAAAUAAAGUAUCAAAAAAUAUUUGUGCUAAAAAUUUGCAAUGUGUACUGACAAUAAUUAGACAUGUGUAAAAUAUAUAAUUGGUUACCGUACAGAAACAAAACAAAAGCGAAAAAAAAGAAAACACUAUGAAGAAAAUCAAGAAAGAAACAAAAGAAAUCAAAAGUAUAACGAGAAAGUAAAACCAGAUAAUGCCAGUGAAAAAAUAAAGCAUAACGAACAAAAAAUCAAAGAAAAAAAAGAAAACAAGACCAGCACGAGAGACUGUGCCAAUGGGCUGGCGCAGUUCAGCGAAUACCGGCUAAAUUCUAUCAACGUUUAAAAUAGACCGGGAUCAAGGAUUUUGGUUUGCUGAUUCCAGGAAUUAAGAGUUCAGAGUUUGAUUUAGCUUCGGCCUAUAUAUAUGAAAGGUUUGUUUUGGAUUUUUUUCCUUUUUCUUUUUGCUAUACUCGAGCGGUCUGGUGUUGUGGUGCACGUUGGCUUCUCCUGCCCAGGAAUCACCUCGCCAACAAGAUCCAAAAUGUCCUAAUAAAGAAAAUAAAAUAAAAAGAACAUGUUUCUGUCAAAAUAGGUAGCACUGUUGGGUAAAAAGACGCACGCCUUCGUUGCUCUCGUGAGGCAGGCGAUUGGGGUUUUCGUUGCCUCCCGUCGCAUAGCCGUCGAGCUGCCUUGUCUUCUGUGGCCUUAGGAUCAUGUAGACGCGAUCGAUCUCGGUCCUUGCUGGGGGGGGGGAGGUGUUUCAUUUUUAGAGUUUGUUUGAGUUUUGAUAGGGUUUGUGUCUUGCUCAGAAAGAUGAGGCGGUGCGUGUUUCUUGGAGAUGGAAUAAGUUUUUCCUCAUAUAGCCCCAGAUGAAAUAAGUUUUUCCUCAUAUAGCCCCCACCCGUUCUGAUGAUGCUUCUAGCAUCGCCGGAGGGUGUAUGAAGAUUUAUCUCGGACGGAUCUCAGGAGAUUCAGUCGACGUUUGACUUUGAUGGAUCCGAUCGGAUCCAUUUUUCGUUCGUCUAAGUUGAUGUGUCGGCAGGUUGGAUUUUUGGUGCUUAGUGUUGUUUUCAUACGGGGCGCUCACUAGCAAAGCCAUUGGGCCAGCCCAUGUAAAGCGAACAGUGAUUGAGCUGCCCAAUCUGAUUUUGCGAUUUUUGCACUCAUAUUUUCCCCUGAAUCUAUCAAUCAUUUUUUCAAAUACCACUCAAUUUUUUUCAGAAUCCACAAACUAUUUUUGCAAAUUUGUGAACAGUUUUUAAUCCACGAACUUUUUCCACAAAAAUCAUGAACUUUUUUCAAAUUCGCAAACACUCUCAAAUCAGUGAACUUUUCUUCAAAUUCACGAGAUUUUUCCAGAUCCAUGAGUUAUUUUUUCAAAUUCUCUAAGACUUAUAAAAUAAGUGAACUUUUUUAAAGUUCACUAAUACUUAUCCAAUCAGUGAAGUUUUUCUAACUCAUGAGUUUUUUUUCAAACCACAAUCUUUUUAUGAAUUCGCAACAAUAAAUUCAUGAACACUUUCCAAAUCAGGGAUGGUUAUUUUCAAAAUUCACAAACGUUUUAUGAAUUCACAAGUUUUAUUUUUCAAAUCCAUGAGUUUUUUGGAAUUUGCAAACUUUUAAAAAAGGGGAGUUUCAUAAAAUUCCAUGAACUUUUAAAAAUGCACCAGUUUUUUUGAAGUCCAUGAUAUGUUUUCGAAUCGUAAUCUUUUCAAAUCCAUGAUAUUUUUUCGAAUUCUUGAUUUUUAUCAAACCCAUGAAACUUUUCUCAAUGUCCAUGAACUGUUUUCAAAUUUGCGAACAUUAUUCAAACCUACAAUUUUGUACGAGUUUUGUUUCAAAUACGCGGCGCUCACUAUCCAAGCCUGCAAGGGUGUGUCUAUAACGGGUUGGCCGGUGUUCCUGGUUUUAAAUGGUAUUGUGUGGUUUUUCAUUUUUCUGUCUUUUCUGUGUCUUCUCUACUGUUUUAGUAUAUUUUCUUUGAUUUAUGAUUUUACUCUUUCCAUUAUUUUAUUCUCCUUUUUUUCAUAUCUUAAUUCAUGAAUAUUUAUUCAGUUUAUGAAUAUUGUAAAACAUGAUUUCCAUUUAAAAUUCACAAAAAAGUAAUAUUCGUGAAUUUUCUUUAAAUUCAUGAAUAUUUCUAUAGUUCACAAAACAAUUACAGCCUAUUUAUUUUAAAAAAUUUGAACCUCUGUUAGAAUUCACUAACAUUGUUUGAAGUCCAUGAAUAUUUUAUAGAUGUCUGAACAUCUUAGAAUAAUCAUAGUUAUUCUGUUUUGCAAUAUUUUUUGAAAUUUUGUGAACAUAGUUUUAGUUAAUGAAUUCUUUCAAACCAAAAAAAUAUGGUAAUCAUAUUUUCGGAGCUAGGAGUGUAGUGAGCAGGGAAAAAAAAGCUAAGUGGGUGAGUGAAGCACGUGCCAUGUUGAGCGAGCGAGAGCUACAUUGACUGGCCCAUGUGAGUGUUACUCCCUCCGUUCUUAAAUACAAGUUUUUUAAGAGUUUUUAUUAGGGGUUUACAUACGGAGCAAAAUGAGCGAAUCUAUAUUCUAAAGUAUGUUUAUAUACAUCCGUAUAUAGUCCACUGAUUGAACCUCUAAAAAAAUUUAUAUUUAAAAACGGGGGAGUAUAAUAAUAAUUCCAUGAUUUUAAUACGGAAUAAGAGCUUCCAAGGGGCUUACGCAACACAAUCAUCAUCGGCUGACACCAAGGCCCAAACGUGUAAGGACAACAUUAGCACACAUGUAACAACUACGGUUUCCUCACGGAACAGCUAUAUUCUUCAAUAACAGCCCAACACGUUAUAUUAACGAGAAACACCGGAGGUGGUGUAUUGGAACAUAGGUGUAGAUACACCUCUACACCUACCAUGAAAUAUAUAUGUUAAUAAUACAUUUCAAAAUGUUACAAAAUUGCAAACAAAAAUUUCGCAUGUACAUUCGGACAUUCUGUGUUCGCACACUAAAUUCACAAGGAAAGAACUUUUUGUGGCAUGUAUAAAAGAGAUAAAAAUAAUAUCUCGUGAAUAGUUGUAAUCAAGCAUCGAAAAUUGUCUUUUAUACACAAGCCACAAAAAAUGUCCCUUUUUACCGAAACAUUAUGCAUGAACAUAUAAUGUCCGGAUGUACGCAUUAGAUUUUUUUUCUUUAAUUUUUUAACAUUUUAAAAUGUGUAUAUUUAAACAAUGGAUGGAUAUACAUCUAUGAGCCAAAAUGAACUUAUCGUCCACCAUAACAUAGCUAAAUUCAAGUGAGCGUUGAUAAAACCAAAAUGAAAGAACCAAUCGCAAUAAUUUGCUAAAGAAAAAGGAGUUAAUACCAUGAAUGAAGGACACCACAGCGAAGCGCGCGUUAGCUUCUCAUCACACUGAUACAGAUGAAAUAACUUGUAUAAGAAUUUUACAAGUUUAAAUCUUAGCGACUUUGGUGUUGCCUUACUGCUCUAGCAUAUUUUAUUUCCUAGUUAGUGUACUUGAUUCGGCCUUGAUAUAUGUCAAACUACAGGAAACGAGUGCGGUGCUACAGAAGCGAAUUGAGCACGGGUCCAAGUAUGAAAACUUUGGCAAGCUCUCCUUGUUCAGUACUUUCAAAUCGUUAUUUUAUAUUUUAUCUUACUCCCUCCAUAUCAUAAUAUAAAAAAAAAUUGACACUAUGAUGGUGUCAAAAAGAUAUCUCAUAUUUUGAUACAAAGGGAGUAUCAUCAAGAUGCAUAAAAUAUGUUGACAUAAAUCGUGUGGAAUAACGGUUGGCAAAUAGUUGGGUAGAUGGAGCACUUAAUCCAUUGAUAUAAUUAUUUGGCGGGUACGAGGUGCCCGGGAUGGACAUAUUGGAAGGUGUCUUCCACUUACAUAUGAGCAUCAUAUACGAAUAAAUUCACUCUCACUUUGUAUGCGCAUCCAUACAAAAAUCGUAUCAACUACAUGCUUGCCAAAAAUAAUGUCAAGCAAAGGCCUACUACAUAUCUGGCGAUUUUACUAUCCACAUGGGUACUAGGUUGGGUGAUUAAAUUCCAAACCAAUGCCAGAUAAGUGCAUUAGCAGUACGCUAUUAUAUUUAAGUGUUGGUGGAGUGUCGAGUAUCUUUGCUUGACUCAACGACUAGGUAAUACUCCUUCCGUCCCGAAAUAAGUGUUUUAACUUUAUAUUAAUUUUAAUAUAAAAUUAUACUAAACUUAAAACAUUUAUUUUGGAACAGAGGAAGUACCUAACUGAAUGGAAGUAUAAUGUGCUAAAUGGGGAAAGCUUUGAACUCUGUCUGGGUCUCUUAUAUGACGAGAAUAAGGCCCUGUUUGGAACCAUAAUAGAUUAUGAUAAUAUGGAUUAUGAAGAUAGAUUAUAUAAUCUGGUUUAUAAAAAUAAUCUAAGUGGACAUGUUUGGAGGCCAGAUUAUAUAAACUGUAAUAAAGGUUUUACAUUGCAUAAUGACCCGUCUGCCCUCUGGUUUUUUUUAAAAAAAAAGAGAAGGAUGGCGGUGGUAGGAAUGUAAUUAUUUCCAACUUUAUAAGGGUAAUGGGUCAUUAGCAAUCCAUAAUCUGAUUUUAGCUGGUAUAGAGUAGCUUAUGAGUUUUUAAUAAUCUAUCCAUCUAGUUUUUAUAAUCUACACCAUAAGUUGUCCUGUUUGGAAACAUAAUAGAUUAUAAAAACUGAAUUAUAUAAUCUGGGUGGUUCCAAACAGGGCCUAACAAAAACUAGAGUUUAUGUGGGUAAAGUGAUACAGCCUAGGCACUGCCAAAUAAAAUCAUGCCCACUUCUUGGAUUGGAGGCCACGGGAAUCUAUUGGUGGUUCUAUCAUGUGAUAGAGUGACUAGUGAUUUUCUAGAUUGAACUGAACUUUUUUUUUACAACAACUGUUUAUUUUAAAAGGUGUUAAGCUUAGGUAGGACUUUUUAACUUAUACUCCCUCCUUCUAAGAUAAGUGAUUUAAUUUUGUAUUGAUGAUAGUAAAAUUAGUAUAAAAUUAAAUCAUUUAUUUUAAAACAGAGAAAAUAUACACUAUCAUGAGCGUUGUAAAGCUUCCUGUGUAUAUUGUACUCACCCUCAUUAUUAAUUCCCUCUUUCUUAAAGCCAAUCUUGUAUGAGAUUCCUAAUGGACCAAGUGAGAGAAAGAAUGAUGACGGCUAAAACUACACAACAGCCCUAAAUGUCGAUCCAUUGAGUGAUAUGUACGAUCUGAAUGUCAGAUAGGAGGGUUGGGAAUGAAUAUCAUAGAUAUGAAGCUGUGUACUUCAUGAACCAUCUUAUCAUCAUCUAUUUAGCAGUACUAGUUGAAUUCCAGUAUUGUAAUAUAAAAGCAUCUACAAUCGAAUUUCUCAUACCCGUCUCAGACACUCGAGCAGGCUGUCCGAUCAAUGAUCGGUCACAAAAACAUAAUCUAAUCGGAUCCCUCAUGUCCGUCUCAAACGCCGGGACCGACCGACAUCCUUUAUAUCAAUCUCAAAUACGAGGACGAUAUAAGGGAUAGUGGACACCUUCAAUCAGUGCGCCACAUAGGACGCGACCCCAUUCGAACCAUUUUAUUAUUAUUAUUAAUUCUUUUUUCUCUCUUUUCUUCUUCAUUAAUCACGUGCAAAGUGAUUGGACAUAUAAGAAAUAAUAUGAGAAGUACGACUGCACGAACGAAAAUGUAAGGGCUUAAAACGGACACGCCCGGUCAGCGUCCGCGAACGUUUGAGGGGUCAGAUUUGCCAAGUCUGACUGUAGAUGCUCUAAGAGCAUCUCCAAAGCUUACUGUUAGAGCAUAUAUCUUCAUAUGUGAUUUUGGUAAUUGAUGACAAUUCCUAUGGACUAAUGGUUGCCUUAAGUUAUAUUUAUAGGAUUUGUCCAUAGGCACUUCUUGAAGUCCAUCUGUUGGGUUCAAGGAGUUUAUAUGAUGACCAAGGUGGUAUUCAAGGUAUUAUCCAAAGAAUGGUCAUAGAGACACAAGGUUGAUCAAGAUCUCAGACAAAGAGUAAAUCAAGAUGAUCAACACACAAAGCGUACAAGAUGUACCGAGAAGGAUCAAGUGAUCCCAUGGUAUGGUAAGCAUUGUCCAUUACGUGUUUGUGUACUAACCCAUGGUCUUCGUGAGAGUUCUAUAUGGGGGUUAGGUGUGUUUCCAUGGGCUUGCGUCAAAGAGAAGAUCUCAUACAACCCAUGAAGUAUGACGUCAAGUUGUGAUCGACAUCAAGAUUGCGAUGUGCAAGUUCAAGUGGAUCAGCACAAAGAUAUCAUGCUUGAAGCUUGCUGUCCAUUGACAAAGAGUAAAUUAAGAUGAUCGACACACAAAGCGUACAAGAUGUACCGAGAGGGAUCAAGUGAUCCCAUGGUAUGGUAAGCAUUGUCCAUUACGUGUUUGUGUACUAACCGAUGGUCUUCGUGAGAGUUCUAUGUGGGGGUUAGGUGUGUUUCCAUGGGCUUGCGUCAAAGAGAAGAUAUCAUACAACCCAUGAAGUACGACGUCAAGUUGUGAUCGUCAUCAAGAUUGCGAUGUGCAAGUUCAAGUGGAUCAGCACGAAGAUAUCAUACUUGAAGCUUGCUGUCCAUUGUGGUGGUAAUGGACUUGUGAAGAUAUGCUGAAGAGUGGCUCAUCCAUAGUGAGUAUGGGGGAGCAAUCAACUAGUCUUCAUCAAGCCAACGCAAUCAAGAAAGGUGGUCCAUCUUGAGGAAGCCAAGAUCAUCAUCAUCUACCUCAAGAGGACGAGGUGCAAGGUAUAGGUUUGCCCUUGAUAGGUUUUCUGGUUAGGAUAGAUUGCUGUACUAUCAAGGGGGGCUCUCAAGUGAGUAGUUUGAUCGUAUCGUUCGUUGAGAGCUCAAACCAUUUGCAUCCUUGCAUCAUACUUCUUGGUUCUUGUUUGGUGUUUCUCUUUGUGAGUUUUAGAGCUUAUGGUCAUCUUCGUGACAAGCUCGAGUUCAUCGAAAACGGAGUCCAUAUGCAUCUACUAUGAUGUUUUCGAUGUUGGAGUUUUUGUCGGUUCUUCAUUCAUAGAGAUCUCACAUCUCUAUAUCAUUGGCAUUUUCAUAUCUGCAUGGUCUUAAGAUUUCGACAUGGCUGUUUGGAUAGCUCUUGUCGUCCUGAAUCCAACAAGCUUGGGUUUGCUCGAUUCAGAGCUCGUAUGCGAAAGUUAUGGUUGUUUCAGUGUCGAGCGAUAGUACCGCUGGACCUAGCGGUAGUACCGCUAGAGUUGGCGGUAGUACCGCUGGCCCUAGCGGUAGUACCGCCCCUGGUCAGCGGUAGUACCGCUCCAGGAGCUUAGUACCGCCUGCUUAGCGGUUGUUCGUGGACGGACCUUUUUGCGAAGACUUUCUUGGCGGUGGUAGUGCCUUUGCACUACCAGGGCCCAACGGUAGUACCGCUGGAGUGCCAGCGGUAGUACCGCUGGAGCUCGGGCAGAGAGUGGGGGUAACGGUCUGAUUCCUUCCCCCACUAUAUAAAGGGGGUCUUCUUCCCCCUUGGCCUUAUCCAUCCGUUGAGCUCUUGUUCUACCUCCAUUAUUGACAUUCUUAGAGCUUGCUUACUCUCAAUCCCUCCAAUGAUUCUUGCUUGUUCUUGAGGGAAAAGAGAGAGGAGAUCUAGAUCCACAUCUCCACCAAUCACUUUCUCCUCUAUGUGAGGGGAACCCAUUGGAUCUUGAUCUUGGAGUUCUUUGUGAGCUCCUUGUUCUUCCUCUCAUAUUUCUCCAUAGCUUUCGUUGUUGUGGAGGGAUUUGAGUGUGAGGGACUUGACCACAUCGUGUGUUCUUGCCAUUGCAUUAGUUGCAUCGGUUUGAGUUCUCCACGGUGAUACGUGGAAGUGAAGUUUGAGAAGCUUAUUACCUUUGGUACUUAGUACCCUAGAUAUUGUUCUUCGCGGAUGAUUUGGAGUCCUAGAAGCUUGGUGGUGUCUUGGAGCUCAAUCAUUGUGGUGUGAAGCUCCGGGCAAGCGUUGGGGUCUCCAAUUAGGUUGUGGAGAUUGCCCCGAGCAAUUUGUACGGGUACCGGUAACCGCCCCCAAGGGUUGCCACGUGUACGGGUUCGGUGACCGCCCCCAAGGUUUGCCAUUUGUACGGGUUCGGUGACCGCCCUCAAGGGUCCCUUAGUGGAAUCACGGCAUCUUGCAUUGUGCGAGGGCGUGAGAAGAUUACGGUGGCCUUACUAGCAUCUUGGGGAGCAUUGUGCCUCCACACCGCUCUAACGGAGAUUAGCAUCCGCAAGGGUGUGAACUUCGGGAUACAUCAUCGUCUCCCCGUGCCUCGGUUAUCUCUUACCCGAACCCUUUACUUAUGCACUUUACUUUGUGACAGACAUAUUGUUUAUUGUAAUAUAUCUUGCUAUCACUUAGUUGUUUAUCUUGCUUAGCAUAAGUUGUUGGUGCACAUAGGUGAGCCUAGUUGUUUGUAGGUUUUGUGCUUGACAUAUUAAACGUUAGUUUUAUUCCGCAUUUGUUCAAGCCUAAACCUUAAUUAUUUUAAAGCGCCUAUUCACCCCCCCUCUAGGCGACAUCCACGUCCUUUCACUUACCCGUAAACUGGAUGCUGCAUCCGUCCGUGGACAAGGUGACUAGUCCAUGAACACGGAUAUGGGAGGCAGUUAUCCAAAGCUAGUCACUAUAUGCCCGCCAAUAAAGCACAGUUUGAAAUUCAAAUACGUCCGAACAUACCAUGCGUCGAAUCACGCCAACACCGGAUCACAUCAUCGGUCGAUCACAACCAAGACAAGCAUGCUUAGUUUUUACAUGUCGUGGUCGUGAAAGAGUAUUAUACGACAAUUCUUCAAUUAUAGUCUCCAUGCCCAAUCCGCCGUCGCCACUGUGGAGGCCGCCUUUGUCCCAGCAGUGACAUCGACAAUGUAGGGCACUUGCCUGGUCGCGGAUGUCCAGGACAUCCUACCCAUCUUCUUGGCGGCGUAGUAGUCAGUAGCCUUGUAAUGCCCUGGCCAUGGCGGCGUCCACAAGGUCGGCGAGGGCGACAUGGCACAAUCUCAACGUUCACGACCAGCAUGCCCACCGACACGUCUGCCACCACCACACCUCCGUUGGCCUUCUGCUUCUUGAGUGUCUCCCCCUUUGUGGCGUUCGCUUUGACACGAUGAUUUUGCCGUGUCGUCGAAGUUGAUCUUCCGUGCGAGCGUGUAGCUUGGAUCCUCCACCACCAUCAUCUCUGACAGGGUCUCCUCUGGCUCCAUGCACCGACGAUGACAAGGAGGGAAGAAGAGAUUGCGGAAAAAUGGCUCGAACUGGGUGAAGAGCAGCUGGAGGGAAGAAGAGAGCGAAGGAUUCUUCUGCAGAAACAGUGAGGCUAGCUUGAAAAGCGCAGACUCCGUCUGAGUUCGACGUUGGAUGGCUCGCGGGUCCAGACAACUGAGUCGAGAUGGAUACAAGUGGUUUGAGGGUCUUUGUUAGAGAUGUCCUAAAUGACUAUAUAUGUAGUUAUUUUCCUGUUGCAAAUUCGUGACAUGGAUUAUUAUUUGAUAAAAAUGAAUUCUGUUAAGAAAUAAUUCAAGGACUAGUGUAAUUAUCUAAAUUAGUAAUGACACGGGUCGUCACAACACUCCUCGACAAACGGCAAAAUUAACGAAUUUGACUCAUGGACGAAAGUAUUUCACAAACUGGACCACGUUCAAAAAAAUUCAUUCAGGUGAUCCUUCUAUGUGGCGCUCGACAGUGAGAUGCUUUAGGCGUCACACUGUUUUGUGUGGUGCCUAUGACUUAGACGCCACACAACCUAGUGUUAGGCGUCACAAAUUGCAGUGUGUCGUCUAAGCCAAAUAUGUCAAAAAAAAGUCAAACGGGUAAAAUCUUUUCAAACGCGGUUCAAUUUAUAAAAUACUUUCGUUUUUUGUGUCAAAAUUUUCCAUUUUGCCCCCACCAUCACGUCCGUCGGCACCACACCCUUGGCUGGCGUUUUGCUUCUUGAGCGUUUCCGUCUUUGCGGCCUUCGCUUUGAUGCGACAAUCUUUCCGUGUCGGUGAGUUGAUCCUCCGGGCGAGCAAUUAUACAUGUCACGAGUAAACAAUAGCAAUGGCGUGGGACCAGUGUUUUGAGAUCUCAAGGGGAGAUUUGGGAGCUGUGGUGGCUUCCUCCUUUCGGGCAGCCAUGACAUGACCCCCUGCUCAGCACUCUCCAAGUCGACGAUGCGACCUUGGAUCUGCUGCCAUCCUUUGCGAUGUUCGAAGCGGCCCUUUCAGGCAUCGGAUUUCAAAGUCCUAGGAGCGGCAGUCGUAUGCUGCUUCCGUUCCUCGCCAGCAUCCUCAAAGACACGCGCACGUUUUCGCCCUCGUUAACAAGUUGUUGAAGCUGGUUCCGUACGUCGUUGGCAGUGAAAACUCAGCUCCUGGUCCUAAGGUACAGUUCCUAGCCCUACUUGGGAACUGUGCCGUGGAAAUGAAAAAUGCAAGGCGUGGCUGCCUGCAAAACGCCGGGCAGUUCGCCGCCCUAGCAAAAAGGCGACGUACCAUGUUGUCCAAGCAAUCAAAAUCAGGUCACCCUCCCUUUACUGCUGCCGGCGUCAGUGUCAGCUAGCCAGAUAGUGAAUUCAGAACACACAUGGACAGGGAGUACUUGCUUUCAAUCAAAGAAAAGAACAUGGAGAAGUACUACGUACGUGCUCAACUGAUUAAUGUUGAAGUCGAUCGAACUUUCACCGGUAGGAGGAAUAAUGCACCGUGGUAUUACUACUCAGAAUUACACUCACCAGCCAUGCAAUUAAUUAACCUGCAUUUUCCAACAGAUUAGGAUAGUACUAGUAACUUGUAUGAGCCGCCUCAGAAAAAUACUAUGCAAGCACUGCUCAUGCAUGUAUAUUCAGCACACUGGUAUUAUCGCUUGAAACAAAACAAAACAAGACAAAACAAGACAAAAAAUCUCAUUGUCCUCACUCCACGUGCAUCGAGAUCUCUCUUACUUAUGAGCCACACAAUAGAAAUGCAAGAUAUCUUGCCAAAGUACUAGUAAUAGAAAUAUAGCAGAUAAUUACAACAUAUAGGAGUAGUUUGCAUGAUACAGGUUCCACUCGUUCGUGAUCAACUACCAGCAAACAUGGAGGUAGAACCACCGCUAACAAUUUUCCCCGAUCUAGUCGAUCGUGAACGCUCGGUAAUUACUGGAUCCGACGCCAUUGCCUGCAAUGGUGUAUGGCAUGCAUGACCGCCCUUCAGGCUUCAGCAUGCAUGUGUGUCUUGAUCAAGGCAGGUGUGUGCAGUCCUAGCACGCUGGAGGUCUGGAGGUCGAUAAAAUGGGUAAUGGGUAAUGAUCAGUUCUGAGGGCAGAAGGGCGUGCCGGGCUUCUCCCUGUGGCUGGGGAUGACGAAGUGCCGGAUCCUGCCGACCUGCUCGGCGAGGUAGGCUUCGCAGAGGAAGGCCUUGGAGAAGCUGUCCUCCACCGCCCGGUCCACGUCGUGCACGAACACGUCCGUGGCGCCGUCGCCGGGCCGCCGCGCGCGGGCCGCCAUGCCGGCCGUGUAGAUGGCGCCCAUCCUCCCGGGCGCCUCGGGCGUCCACCCCGUGGGCGCGUCCACCAUGAUGAGGUCCCACUCGGUCUCGUGGAACACGGCGGGGAGGCCGCGCAGCGCCAGCCGGCACGAGGCCUCGGCGGCGGCGGCGAGGUCCGGCUGCGCGGUGCACCCCGGGUGGUCGCGCAGGGCGAUGAGGUCGUCGGCCUCGGUGAGGCGGGUGUCGUAGGUCACGUGGUACGACUCGAGGCCCGGGUGCGCGGCGCGGACGGAGGCGAUCCAGGACGCGUCCUCCUCGAGGAACACAGUGCGGCCGCCGUGGUUGAGCGCCGCCCACAUGGGGCUGUCGUGCCCGAGGCCGAACACCAGGAAGUUGCACGGCGAGCGGCGCUGCAGCACGCGCAGCGACACCCCGAUCUCCGCCGCCGUCUGCUGCGGCGUCACGUUCGACGUCGCGUAGUGCACCAGGGCCUCGGCCACGGCCCCCGGCAGCUUCGAGCACGACCCGUCGCCAUCGCUCUCGCCGCCGCGCAGCCGCGAGGCGUGGGAGGAGGAGGAGGAGAAGAGCGUGCGGGCGGAGAAGAGGAGGAGGAAGGCGGCGAGGGCGGCGACGAGGAGGAGGCGGUGGCCGAGGAAGCCGUGCAGCUUGGCCUUCAUGGAGGCGAGGUGGAGGGCCUGCUUGCGGGCGUGCGUGGGGCUCGACAUGGACGCUCGUCGGUUCUUCUUGUCUUGGGUGGCGAGGGGUUUAUAGGCGAAGAGGAUCGAUGCUUGAAGGAAGGGGAGGCGAUGGAGGGAAGGAAGGAAGAAGAGAUUGGUAAUGGAGGAGGAGGGGCGGAUGGGAUUGUGAUGAUGGGGUUGGGUUGGGUUGGGUGACGAGGACACGAGACCUGCAAAGUUUGGUGUAGGGUUGGCUUUCGGAUGGACGGGUGGAUGGAUGCUUUGGGUUGUGGGGCGCCCUUUUCGGUUGAGAGGACGGCAGGCGUUGAUGCAAAGGAAUGGGCCGAAUGUCGACUGUAUUUCCUUUUUCUUUUCUUUUUCUCUUGAUGAUAUACAUAGUGCUGAUUAUUGUGUUUUAAAUACGAAGUAGACGUCGUGAGGGAGAUGUCGGCCACGGUAUUAUCUUCAACAGUUUAGACUGAAUUUUUUUGAAACGUUUAUAUUGAUAUUACUAUCAUAUAUACUCCCUCCGUUCCUAAAUAUAAGACCUUUUAAAAGUUUCAUUAUGAACAACAUACGGAUGUAUAUAGACACAUUUUAGAACAUAGAUUGACUCAUUUUGCUUUGUAUGUAGUCCAUAGUGAAAUGUCUAAAAGGUCUUAUAUUUAAGAAUGAAGGGAGUAAGCAAUAGCAUAUUGUUGUCUUGACAUAUUUGCGAGAAGGCCGAUAGGACGACACAAAAACGAGAAUUUCAUCCAACAACAUAAUUCGUUAUCUGCAGGAAAAAAAUUGACCCGGGUUGACACAUUUAUAGAUGCAAGCGCUCAUAUAAAUGCACAUACAGUUAAUCAAUAAACAUACACACGUACAUCCUAUCUCAUGAAUAUUUUUAAAAGAUUGAGCCAACAUAUCAUCCUGAGAUUUACAUAGUCAUUCUAGACGUCUCGUUAUCGACGAAAACGUUUCACUGAAUACGUAGCCGAAAAUUCUAAAAUAAAUUCAGAAAAGAUGCGAGCAUCUGUACUUGAACCCGACGGACUCAGGGUACCACUAUUCAUCUAGCCAUCCAACAAUGGAUUGGUUCACACUUUUCCUAUUCAAUGUUAUUGUUGCAUCUAUGAGAGUUCAUCGGUGUUUUAUUCAGACGGCUAAUUAUUGUGUUUUAAAUACGAAGUAGACGUCGUGAGGGAUGGAGUAGGCCACAAUAUUAUCAAUAAUAUAUAUUGAUUUCUAUUCUGUGAAAUGUUUAAACUGAUACUACCAUCACAAGCAAUGACUUAUCAUUGUCUCGACGCAUUUGCGAGAAGUCUGAUAGGAUGAUAGAGAAUUUUGUUCAACGACAACCUUUGUUAUCUGCAGGAAAAACUAAUGAUGUAGUUUGACACUUGGUGGGCAUUCCUGUUCAAUGUUGUUGUUAACGGCAUGGAUCCGCAAAAGCUCACUAGUGACUUGCUAGACCGGCCAUUAAAUCCAACGUGGUCAACAAGGUGAUGGUAGAGACACCUGGCUUAAGGGCGGCGCCGGGAUGGAGUGGAUGCGGCCACAGGCAAGGCGGUAAGGAGGAUGUCAUUUUACAUAUUGACACGAUUUUAAUACAUGGUCUUGAGCCCAUCUUGCAUCCUAAGACUUAUAGAAGCAUGACGUGGUAAACUGAUGCUCUUGUACAAAGCAUUGAUUUUUGCAACAACAACAGCAAAACUACAUUUUCAGCAGAAAACAAAAAUUAGGCAAGAAGCAAGUAAAUUUUGAGCCAUUUCCAAUGAUGAUGUUAUGCGGAACACCAUAUUUUUAGAUGAUGUUUCUGAUGAACCUAGUGAAGUUCUCGCACCAGCCUUCACUAUAGGAUUUGCCUCUAUCCACUACGACAAUAGGAUCAGCGAAGCCCCCAUCGAGCAUUGUCCGAUCUCAUUUGAUAUGGCGGUUGACAUCGACAAUGGGUGUUUCGAACCAUAUCACUAAUGAGACACAUGCACGCAGCUUGUGGCGGAAAUUGAAGGAGUUGUUCACACACCUUUGACAAGAUAAACAAAUUGUGAAGACAUAACUACUUCUUCUACAAUUGUUUUGGUGUGAAUUUCAUGUAUUACCCCCUGGUAUUCUAGGUUGGACAAUGGUUAUCCAAAAGUCCAGCCGAUUUUCAUUGCCACGCCUUUUUUUGUAUCUUAUGUGUGUAAGGUUUCUCAUGAGUUGGAGUCAUAAGUCUGGAGAAACACAAUGGUAGAGUCAAAGAACCACUAUGGGAAAAGCUUUCUAUGUCAAGCGUUAGGUACUUUGGCAAGUGAAUUUUAUUGAGCACUCAACAAACAAGGCCUUUGUCGAGUGCCUAAAGAAAACACUUGACAGAAAAAUCAUACUUGACGAACAUCACCAUUGUCGAAUACCAUCCAAAAAAAGAGUUGGUGAAAACGUUGCACUAGGCACAAAUUGAGCCUGGCACUUGGCAAAGACCAAGCACAUGAAAAACACAGUGACACGUGUCCGUGGACACCGUCGUUGAUGGACAAGUGACAAUGUUGCCACUAGAGGUUGCAGUACACAUUUGAGAAUGUCACGCAAAAGUUGUCACACAUACUACUUAUAAACCGAACCAUCUCCAAGGAAGGAACUAUGUUUUGACAAGGAAAGAGAGCAGGUUUGCAUGCAAAGAGAUCGUUGAUUUAUCCAUUGACCUUCAAAAGAUUAUACACUCAAGAUACACCACUACAUGUUCCAUGUCAAAAUUUGGCAUAUUCCUGCUGGAAAAUGUAGUAGAAAAAAAAUCAGGACUAUUUAUAGAAUCAAGAAUCACUAUGAAGAUGCAAAGAGAUUUAGAUUUGAACUUUACCAAUAAAAGUCAGCUGAGAGGAGAUGUUGGUGCAGACUAGACGCAGAUUCCUGACGCUAUGAUUAAACCUCACAACAAUAGUAACAAAGGUGCAGCAAGAUGGCCCAAUCCCUUUUGUAGCAAGGGACAAGCCUGGACAAACUCUUAUAUGAGGUGAAGCGCUCCCGAGGACACAUGGAAUUUCUGUCAAGCUAGUUUUCAUCAUGUUCAUAUGAUUCGCGUUCGCUACUUUGUGUUGGGGAACGUCGCAUGGGAAACAAAAAUUUUCCUACGCGCACGAAGACCUAUCAUGGUGAUGUCCAUCUACGAGAGGGGAUGAGUGAUCUACGUACCCUCGUAGAUCGUACAGCAGAAGCGUUAGAGAACGCGAUUGAUGUAGUGGAACGUCCUCACGUCCCUCGAUCCGCACCGCGAACAAUCCCGCGAUCAGUCCCACGAUCUAGUACCGAACGGACGGCACCUCCGCGUUCAGCACACGUACAGCUCGACGAUGAUCUCGGCCUUCUUGAUCCAGCAAGAGAGACGGAGAGGUAGAAGAGUUCUCCGGCAGCGUGACGGCGCUCCGGAGGUUGGUGAUGAUCUCGUCUCAGCAGGGCUCCGCCCGAGCUCCGCAGAAACGCGAUCUAGAGGAAAAACUAUGGAGGUAUGUGGUCGGGCAGCCGUGAGAAAGUCGUCUCAAAUCUGCCCUAAAAGCUCCAUAUAUAUAGGAGGAGGGAGGGGGACCUUGCCUUGGGGUCCAAGGGAUCCCCAAGGGGUCGGCCGAGCCAGGGGGGAGGACUCUCCCCCCCCAAACCGAGUCCUACUUGGUUUGGUGGGAGGGAGUCCUUCCCCCUUCCCACUUCUUCCUUUUUUUUCUUUCCUUUGAUUUUUCUUCCUUGGCGCAUAGGGGAUUGGUGGUCUGUCCCACCAGCCCACUAAGGGCUGGUGUGACCCCCCAAAUACCUAUGGGCUUCCCCGGAGUGGGUUGCCCCCCUCCGGUGAACUCCCGGAACCCAUUCGUCAUUCCCGGUACAUUCCCGGUAACUCCGAAAACCUUCCGGUAAUCAAAUGAGGUCAUCCUAUAUAUCAAUCUUCGUUUCCGGACUAUUCCGGAAACCCUCGUGACGUCCGUGAUCUCAUCCGGGACUCCGAAAAACAUUCGGUAACCAACCAUAUAACUCAAAUACGCAUAAAACAACGUCGAACCUUAAGUGUGCAGACCCUGCGGGUUCGAGAACUAUGUAGACAUGACCCGAGAGACUCCUCGGUCAAUAUCCAAUAGCGGGACCUGGAUGCCCAUAUUGGAUCCUACAUAUUCUACGAAGAUCUUAUCGUUUGAACCUCAGUGCCAAGGAUUCGUAUAAUCCCGUAUGUCAUUCCCUUUGUCCUUCGGUAUGUUACUUGCCCGAGAUUCGAUCGUCAGUAUCCGUAUACCUAUUUCAACCUCGUUUACCGGCAAGUCUCUUUACUCGUUCCGUAAUACAAGAUCCCGCAACUUACACUAAGUUACAUUGCUUGCAAGGCUUGUGUGUGAUGUUGUAUUACCGAGUGGGCCCCGAGAUACCUCUCCGUCACACGGAGUGACAAAUCCCAGUCUUGAUCCAUACUAACUCAACUAACACCUUCGGAGAUACCUGUAGAGCAUCUUUAUAGUCACCCAGUUACGUUGCGACAUUUGAUACACACAAAGCAUUCCUCCGGUGUCAGUGAGUUAUAUGAUCUCAUGGUCAUAGGAAUAAAUACUUGACACGCAGAAAACAGUAGCAACAAAAUGACACGAUCAACAUGCUACGUCUAUUAGUUUGGGUCUAGUCCAUCACGUGAUUCUCCCAAUGACGUGAUCCAGUUAUCAAGCAACAACACCUUGUUCAUAAUCAGAAGACACUGACUAUCAUCGAUCAACUGGCUAGCCAACUAGAGGCAUGCCAGGGACGGUGUUUUGUCUAUGUAUCCACACAUGUAAAUGAGUCUUCAUUCAAUACAAUUAUAGCAUGGAUAAUAAACUAUUAUCUUGAUACAGGAAUUAUAAUAAUAACUAUACAUUUAUUAUUGCCUCUAGGGCAUAAUUCCAACACUUUGAUAUUUUGAUAUGUGGGUGGACCGGUGCUUGGGUGCUGCCCUUACUUGGACAAACAUCCCACUUAUGAUUAACCCCUCUCACAAGCAUCCACAACUACGAAAGAAGAAUUAAGACUAAGCCUAACCAUAACAUUAAACUAGUGGAUCCAAAUCAGCCCCUUACGAAGCAACGCAUAAACUAGGGUUUAAGCUUCUGUCACUCUAGCAACCCAUCAUCUACUUAUUACUUCCUAAUGCCUUCCUCUAGGCCCAAAUAAUGGUGAAGUGUCAUGCAGUCGACAUUCACAUAACACCACUAGAGGAAAGACAACAUACAUCGCAUCAAAAUAUCAAACGAAUACCAAAUUCACAUGACUACUUAUAGCAAGACUUAUCCCAUGUCCCGAGGAACAAAAGUGACUACUCACAAAGCAUAAUGAUGUUCAUGACCAGAGAGGUAUUGAAUAGCAUUAAGGAUAUGAACAUAUGAUCUUUCACCGAGUAAUCCAACUAGCAUCAACUACAAAGAGUAAUUAACACUACUAGCAACCUUACAAGUACCAAUCGGAGUCGCGAGACGGAGAUUGGUUACAAGAGAUGAACUAGGGUUUGGAGAUGAGAUGGUGUUGAUGAAGAUGUUGAUGGAGAUGAGUCCCCUCCAAUGAGAGGAGCGUUGGUGAUGACGAUGACGACGAUUUCCCCCUCCGGGAGGGAAGUUUCCCCGACAGGACGGCCCUGCCGGAGCUCUAGAUUGGUUCUGCUCAAGUUCCGCCUCGUGGUGGCGGCGUCUCUUUCAGAAAGCCUCCUCCUGAUUUUUUCUCGGACAAAACCCUACUUAUAGGAAAAGAUGGGAGCCGGAAGGGGUAGCGGGGGGCCCACAAGCCACCCAGGCGCGACCAGGGGGUAGGCCGCGCCUGGCAGGCUUGUGGCCUCCUGGUGGCUCCCCUCUGGUACUUCUUCCGCCCAAUAUUUUUUAUAAAAUCCAAAAUAAUUCCUCGUUGAUUUUUACGGCUUUUGGAGUUGCGCGGAAUAGGUAUCUCAAACUUGCACUUUUUCAGACCAGAAUUCUAGCUGCCGGCAUUCUCCCUCUUCAUGUAAACCUUAUAAAUUAAGAGAGAAAAGGCAUAAGUAUUGCACCGUAAUGUGUAAUAACAGCCCAUAAAAGCGAUAAAUGUCAACAUAAAAGCAUGAUGCAAAAUGGACGUAUCAACUCCCCUAGGCUUAGACCUCGCUUGUCCUCAAGUGGAAGACGAGAUCAAUAAAUAUGCCCACAUGUUUAGAGAUAGAGGUGUUGAUAAAACAACAUACGGACAUGCAGGCAUCAUGAUCAUAUUUAGAACAACAAUAUCGUCAUAUAAUCUCUUAUGCUAAAGUGAUAAUUCCUUCACAAAGUAAAGUAUGGAUCAAGAACCUUAUUGAGAAUUAACAACCAAUAGCUUUUAGUCAUUGAAGCAAUUGCAAUUUAUCAUAACAUCGAAAAGAGUCAAAUAAGAGCCUGUAAAGCAAAUCCACAUACUCAAUCAUCCUUUCGUCUUCUAUAAUUGCUAAAACUCACGUGGUACUCAUGAGAUCAAAGUUUCAGUUGGACACAGAGAAAGAUAGGGGCUUAUAGUUUCGCCUCCCAACUAUUUACCUCAAGGGUAAUGUCAACAAUAAUAAUUCGUGAAUACUAAUUUCCAAGUUGACAUAUGAAUAUAGAUCUUUCCCUAGCACAUGACAUUAGCCAAGAUAAUGGCGAAAUAAGGAAUUGAUGUUGAUCACCACGACUCUUUUAAGGAAAAAAGUUAAGAUACAAGAUAGGCCCUUCGCAGAGGGAAGCAGAGGUUGUCAUGCUUUUGAGGUUUGGAUGUGUGACCUCUUAGUGUGAAGGAACGCCACUUUAUAUUGCCUCCUGUGAUAAAGAACUUUAUUAUGCAGUCUGUCGCUUUUAUGUCUUCCUUAUCAGAGGUCCAUACAAAGCUUAUUUUCCACACACUAAUAGAUCAUACAUAUUUAGGGAGCAACUUUUAUUGCUUGCACCAAUGACAACUUACUUGAGGGAUCUUAUUCAAUCCAUAGGUAGGUAUGGUGGACUCUCAUGGCAAAACUGGGUUGAAGGUUUAUGGAUGCACAAGUAGUAUCUCUACCUAGUGCGGAAGUUUUGGCUGAUAUGAGGUGGAAGCAAUCGUCAUGUGCUAAGGGAUCUCUAGUCAUAUAACAUUGUUCGGAACCAAGCAAACAUAAUUCAUUAUGUUGUCUUCCUUGUUCAACAUCUACUUCUAAGCAUGUAAUAGUUUAAUGAGUGUUCACAAUCAUAGAUAGUGCCCAAGAUGAUAUAUUUAUAUGUGAACCUCUCCUUCUUUAUUACUUCCUAUUAAUUGCAACAAUGACCAAGGUUUACGUUUGUCCACCCACAACAAGUUCCAAUCAACAUUCUUUUUAUAUGUGAAGCCAUCGCUUCCCAUAAGAUCAUUACAUGAUAUUUCAUGCUUUUGUUCUUUUAUUAUUAUUUUCUUUAGAUCAUGGCAUGAAGCAAGGCCCUUAACUAAAACACUCUUUAUUAUAUGACUCACGAACUCAAAUACAUUGGGGGUGACACAAAGCAAAACUCAAGCCUAGAUCACUAAGAACUUUAUUCUACUAGAGAAAGAUAAAACCGAAAAGGAUCGAACUAAGAAAAAGGUAAAGGCAAAAGAUGUGAUGGUGAUACGAUACCGGGGCAACUUGCCCAAGCUUGGCACAAGCCAAGAGGAGUGCCCAUACCCGUGCUUAUUUGUCUUCCUUCAAAGGUGAUGGUGGUGG
rnacentral:lncRNA from 1 species